rnacentral:rRNA from 1 species
AGGUUCCUACGGGAGGCAGCAGUGGGGAAUAUCGCACAAUGGGGGGAACCCUGAUGCAGCGACGCCGCGUGAGUGAAGAAGUAUUUCGGUAUGUAAAGCUCUAUCAGCAGGGAAGAAGAUGACGGUACCUGACUAAGAAGCCCCGGCUAACUACGUGCCAGCAGCCACGGUAAUACGUAGUGGGCAAGCUUUAUCCGGAUUUACUGGGUGUAAAGGGAGCGUAGACGGCAGGGCAAGUCUGGAGUGAAAGCCCGGGG